UGAACGCUAGCGGGAGGCCUAACACAUGCAAGCCGAGCGGUAGAGUUCCUUCGGGAACUUGAGAGCGGCGUACGGGUGCGUAACACGUGUGCAACCUACCUUUAUCUGGGGGAUAGCCUUUCGAAAGGAAGAUUAAUACCCCAUAAUAUAAUGAUUGGCAUCAAUUAUUAUUGAAAACUCCGGUGGAUAGAGAUGGGCACGCGCAAGAUUAGAUAGUUGGUGAGGUAACGGCUCACCAAGUCAAUGAUCUUUAGGGGUCCUGAGAGGGAGAUCCCCCACACUGGUACUGAGACACGGACCAGACUCCUACGGGAGGCAGCAGUGAGGAAUAUUGGACAAUGGGUGAAAGCCUGAUCCAGCCAUCCCGCGUGAAGGAUGACGGUCCUAUGGAUUGUAAACUUCUUUUGUACAGGGAUAAACCUACUCUCGUGAGGGUAGCUGAAGGUACUGUACGAAUAAGCACCGGCUAACUCCGUG
rnacentral:rRNA from 1 species